ACUCAAAUGAAUUGACGGGGGCCCGCACAAGCGGUGGAGUAUGUGGCUUAAUUCGAUGCAACGCGAAGAACCUUACCAGGGUUUGACAUGUAUCGUGUCGGCGGUGAAAGCCGCCUAGUUGUAGCAAUACAACGCUUUACACAGGUGCUGCAUGGCUGUCGUCAGCUCGUGUCGUGAGAUGUUGGGUUAAGUCCCGCAACGAGCGCAACCCUUACGUCCUGUUGCCACUCCCUUCGGGGAAGCACUCUGGACGGACUGCCCUGUGAAACGGGGAGGAAGGUGAGGAUGACGUCAAGUCAGCAUGGCCCUUACACCCUGGGCUGCACACGUACUACAAUGCUCAGUACAAUACGAGCCGAAACCGCGAGGUGGAGGAAAUCUCAAAAACUGAGCCCAAUUCGGAUCGCAGGCUGCAACUCGCCUGCGUGAAGCUGGAAUCGCUAGUAAUGCCGUAUCAGCUACGACGGCGUGAAUACGUUCCCGGGCCUUGCACACACCGCCCGU
rnacentral:rRNA from 1 species